UACGGAGGGUGCAAGCGUUAUCCGGAUUCACUGGGGUUAAAGGGUGUGUAGGCGGAUAUUUAAGUCAGUGGUGAAAUCUCCAGGCUCAACCUGGAAACUGCCAUUGAUACUAUUUAUCUUGAAUUCUGUUGAGGUGGGCGGAAUACAUCAUGUAGCGGUGAAAUGCUUAGAUAUGAUGUAGAACACCGAUUGCGAAGGCAGCUCACUAAACAGACAUUGACGCUGAGGCACGAAAGCGUGGGGAUCAAACAGG
rnacentral:rRNA from 1 species